rnacentral:rRNA from 1 species
UACGUAGGGCGCAAGCGUUAAUCGGAAUUACUGGGCGUAAAGCGUGCGCAGGCGGUUUUGUAAGUUUGUCGUGAAAGCCCCGGGCUCAACCUGGGAAUUGCGAUGAAGACUGCAAGGCUUGAAUCUGGCAGAGGGGGGUGGAAUUCCACGUGUAGCAGUGAAAUGCGUAGAUAUGUGGAGGAACACCGAUGGCGAAGGCAGCCCCCUGGGUUAACACUGACGCUCAUGCACGAAAGCGUGGGGAGCAAACAGG